AAUAGAUACCCGGGUGGUCCACGCCGUAAACGAUGAGUGCUAAGUGUUAGGGGGUUUCCGCCCCUUAGUGCUGCAGCUAACGCAUUGAGCACUCCGCCUGGGGAGUACGGUCGCAAGACUGAAACUCAAAGGAAUUGACGGGGGCCCGCACAAGCGGUGGAGCAUGUGGUUUAAUUCGAAGCAACGCGAAGAACCUUACCAGGUCUUGACAUCCCAUUGGCCACUAUGGAGACAUAGUUUUCCCUUCGGGGACAACGGUGACAGGUGGUGCAUGGUUGUCGUCAGCUCGUGUCGUGAGAUGUUGGGUUAAGUCCCGCAACGAGCGCAACCCUUGUUCUUAGUUGCCAUCAUUUAGUUGGGCACUCUAAGGAGACUGCCGGUGACAAACCGGAGGAAGGUGGGGAUGACGUCAAAUCAUCAUGCCCCUUAUGACCUGGGCUACACACGUGCUACAAUGGACGGUACAAACGGUUGCCAACCCGCGAGGGGAGCUAAUCCGAUAAAACCGUUCUCAGUUCGGAUUGUAGGCUGCAACUCGCCUACA
rnacentral:rRNA from 1 species